GGCGAGCGGCGGGCGGCGGAGGUUGGGCGGCGGCGCAGCGGGCGGGCGGCGCGGGCCACAGAGGCCGGGCGCGGAGGAGAGAGAGGAGCGUGGGGGAGGAGAGAGGGGAGGGUACCGGUGGAAAAAUGGAGGAGGGGGACCACUUUUAGCACUUCUAGUCAAUUUUAGCACCUCUUGGAGGGCUAAUGGAUUAUGGGGGGCUAAAAUUUAGCCCCUCCAUUUUAGCCUAGGUGUUUGGGAGGAGGAGAGGCUAAAAGUGACUAAAAUGGGGGUGCUAAAAUUUAGCACCCCC
rnacentral:lncRNA from 1 species